GCGGGGGUGCCCGAGCCGGGUCAAAGGGGGCGGACUUAAGAUCCGCUGGCGUAGGCCUGCGUGGGUUCAAAUCCCACCCCCCGCA
rnacentral:tRNA from 1 species